rnacentral:rRNA from 1 species
CUUAAAGGAAUUGACGGGGAGCACCACAACGGGUGGAGCUUGCGGUUUAAUUGGAUUCAACGCCGGAAAUCUUACCGGGACCGACAGCAAUAUGAAGGCCAGGCUGAAGACGUUUGCCGGAUUAGCUGAGAGGUGGUGCAUGGCCGUCGUCAGUUCGUACUGUGAAGCAUCCUGUUAAGUCAGGCAACGAGCGAGACCCACGCCCACAGUUGCCAGCGUACUCUCUGGAGUGACGGGUACACUGUGGGGACCGCCGCUGCUAAAGCGGAGGAAGGAAUGGGCAACGGUAGGUCAGUAUGCCCCGAAUAUCCCGGGCUACACGCGAGCUACAAUGGUUGGUACAAUGGGUAUCUACCCCGAAAGGGGACGGGAAUCUCCUAAAACCAAUCUUAGUUCGGAUUGAGGGCUGCAACUCGCCCUCAUGAAGCUGGAAUCCGUAGUAAUCGCGUUUCAACAGAACGCGGUGAAUACGUCCCUGCUCCUU